UGUGUGACUUACUUGUGUAUGAAUUGUUUAAAAUUAAAUGUAAUAUAAUUUAUACCUGGAGGAACUUUGGGGUUACUUAUAAUACAUAUAUUAAGAAGCCACAUGUAUGUCAUACAAUAUGCGUUUUCCCAGUGUGAGAGAUGAGAGGACCACAUAGUUAGUUUUUUUACAAAAUCUGCAUGGAACGGGCAUGCAGAAUUGACCAAAGCACAUGCAGGUUUAAGUCUGGAUGAUGGGCACUUCCAGGGUUGGAUCCAGUAGGUGCAGUAGGUGCCAC
rnacentral:lncRNA from 1 species